rnacentral:pre_miRNA from 1 species
AAAGCUCAGUGCGCUGUCGUUUCAUCUCUUUCUGGACAAGGCGAGCUUGCCUUGUCCAGAAAGAGAUGAAACCACAGCGCACUGAGCUUUG